CAGCCUGCUGUGAGCGUGCCAGCCGUGGAGGGAGCCGAUGACUAAACCCCACUCUCUUCAUUUCAGCCACAUCGAAGGCAAGUGCUGAGAGCCACCACCGCCAGUGCCGGAGACACGAGCUCCGAGCUAUUUCCAGUGAAGGCUUGGAAGUUUCCCAGCAGAUGUGCAGAAAAGAUGGAGAACUUGGAAAGCGGCUGCUAAUGUAACUGCCUGAAGUUACGUUUAGAGGCUGGAAUCUCUGCACCUUGCAAACAAAGAGCCCGACCUCCUCUGCGUUCCUGUAAGUCAAAGCGCCUGGCCCUUCCUGCUUCUGGCCCAGGUCCACGGGUUGGGAGCCUUGGAGUCAGGGCCGCUGGGCAGGGGUGGGCUGGGAGCCCCCUGAGUCUUUUGUGUUGGGUUUUCUGGGUUGUUUGUUACCCAAAGAGAGUAUCUGGCACACUGGGUUCUGGUCUAGCGCAAGCCUUUCAGCCUCUUCCCUAUUGAGGACUCAGGGUUUCACAGCAGGUAUGAGGUUGUAGCUAGUGGGCUCCUUCCCUGGCUGUCAAGACUUCACCCUCCUUUCCCCCAGUCACACCCACAGAGGGCACAGAAGGAUCCUGAGGGCAU
rnacentral:lncRNA from 1 species